rnacentral:lncRNA from 1 species
UCCGUAGACAUCAGUUGUAGAGGAUCCACAAGGGGAUUAGCCCCUUCGUUGCUUUUGGCCUUUUUGGCUUGUAUAAGAUAUGUGAAAUCUUGAUAGAGCAACUUCAUUAAUAGAACCAGAUAAUUUACAAACUUUUACUUAUAAUAUGUUCAGGGAUUCUCGAGAUUUCAUAUCUGAGAAACAAAUAUUUCACCAAGAUCUCCAUUUGGCUUUCGAUGCGGUUCAUCGCUCCCUUGUUCGUGCCUCAGAGGUCAGAUAUCAUGUUGAUGACACC